UACGAAGGGGGCUAGCGUUGCUCGGAAUUACUGGGCGUAAAGCGCACGUAGGCGGCUUUCUAAGUCGGAGGUGAAAUCCUGGAGCUCAACUCCAGAACUGCCUUCGAUACUGGAGAGCUUGAGUCCGGGAGAGGUGAGUGGAACUGCGAGUGUAGAGGUGAAAUUCGUAGAUAUUCGCAAGAACACCAGUGGCGAAGGCGGCUCACUGGCCCGGUACUGACGCUGAGGCGCGAAAGCCAGGGGAGCAAACGGG
rnacentral:rRNA from 1 species